GAUGAACGCUGGCGGCGUGCCUAAUACAUGCAAGUCGAGCGAACAGACGAGGAGCUUGCUCCUCUGACGUUAGCGGCGGACGGGUGAGUAACACGUGGAUAACCUACCUAUAAGACUGGGAUAACUUCGGGAAACCGGAGCUAAUACCGGAUAAUAUAUUGAACCGCAUGGUUCAAUAGUGAAAGACGGUUUUGCUGUCACUUAUAGAUGGAUCCGCGCCGCAUUAGCUAGUUGGUAAGGUAAUGGCUUACCAAGGCAACGAUGCGUAGCCGACCUGAGAGGGUGAUCGGCCACACUGGAGGUGGGACACGGUCCAGGCGCCUACGGGAGGCAGCAGUAGGGAAUCUGCCGCAAUGGGCGAAAGCCUGACGGAGCAACGCCGCGUGAGUGAUGAAGGUCUUCGGAUCGUAAAACUCUGUUAUGAGGGAAGAACAAAUGUGUAAGUAACUAUGCACGUCUUGACGGUACCUAAUCAGAAAGCCACGGCUAACUACGUG
rnacentral:rRNA from 1 species